GAGCGUCGGUGUGUUUUUCAGCUGAGAGAGCUGAGGAGGAGAGAAGAAAAGAAAAGUUCAGGUUCCUCCGUCUGAGCAGGAGAAGAAGAAGAAAAAGAAGGAAAGUAGAAAGUGUGCGGAGAGAAAGUUCGACAGUUAGACGGCUCCGUUCUUUCUGGGUUUUCUGUUUAUACUAAAAGGGGAAAAUCACUUCAGAGGGACAGACUGUCUCUGUCUCCCUCUGUCCCGGAGGACGGAGGAUGUCACCGGGGUGUGCCGACACCCCCAGCCUGACCCGCGGCUCCUCGGGUAAGCGCCGACAGUUUGCUGCUGCUGAGAACGGAACCAGAACCGGGACCGGACUUUGAUUGGGAUUCAGACUGGAUUCAGGAUGUCCUCAGAGCUGGCUGUGGGUCUGGUUCUCCGGGUCCUGCUACCCCUCAGUUUGACUGCAGCGUGUGCACUGAGAUAUAAUGGAUUCUCUCUGGUCUACGUCAUCCUGUUGCUGUUGCUGCCGCUGCUGCCCGAGCCCUCCUCCAACACAGGUAAAACGAGUCGCUGCGUGAUCGCUGCGUGCGUCUUCAGCUUCUUCUUUCUGUUGCUGCAGUGUUUCUUCCAAGUGACCAUCGCAGCACUGCAGCCCGGCCACAACUGUAAGAUACACCUGCUCACCUGUCUGUCUGUCUGUGUAUAACCUGUCUGUCUG
rnacentral:lncRNA from 1 species